rnacentral:ncRNA from 1 species
UCACGGGAGCUGAAUAUUGAUUCGGCUGAGAGGGAACUUCCUUGUUCCGACCGCACCUGAUCCAGAUAAUACUGGCGUAGGAAUGUUGAUUUUUUA